UACAGAGGUCUCAAGCGUUGUUCGGAUUCAUUGGGCGUAAAGGGUGCGUAGGUGGCGCGCUAAGUCAGGUGUGAAAUUUCGGAGCUUAACUCCGAAACUGCAUUUGAUACUGGCGUGCUUGAGGACUGGAGAGGAGACUGGAAUUCAUGGUGUAGCAGUGAAAUGCGUAGAGAUCGUAAGGAAGGCCAGUGGCGAAGGCGAGUUCCUGGACAGUUACUGACGCUGAGGCACGAAGGCCAGGGGAGCAAACGGG
rnacentral:rRNA from 1 species